rnacentral:rRNA from 1 species
ACCGGCAGCUCAAGUGGUGGCCAUUAUUAUUGGGCCUAAAGCGUUCGUAGCCGGUUUGAUAAGUCUCUGGUGAAAUCCCGCAGCUUAACUGUGGGACUUGCUGGAGAUACUAUCAGACUUGAGGUCGGGAGAGGUUAGGGGUACUCCCAGGGUAGGAGUGAAAUCCUGUAAUCCUGGUAGGACGACCUAUGGCGAAGGCGCCUAACCGGAACGAACCUGACGGUGAGGAACGAAAGCCAGGGGCGCGAACCG